AGUGGCGAAAGGGGAGAAAAGAAGGGGUAACCUACCCUGGGGAUCGGGAUAGCCAUUCCUCGAAGGGGGAAAACCCGAGGAAGGAACCGAGAUCCCUGGACCUUGCUACAAAAUGAAUUUCCCCUCGGGAGGGGCUCAUGUGAUAUUAGCUUGUUGGCGGGGUAACGGCCCACCAAGGCUGAGAUGUCUAGCGGGUGUGAGAGCACGACCCGCGCCACUGGCACUGAGACACUGGCCAGACUCCUACGGGAGGCUGCAGUCGAGGAUCUUCGGCAAUGGGCGCAAGCCUGACCCCACCAACACCGCCCGCCCGAUGAAGGCCUUCGGGUUGUAAAGCGCUGUCGAGGGGGAGGAAGCCGAAAGGUUGACCUAUCCCUGGAGGAAGCACGGGCUAAGUUCGUGCCAGCAGCCGCGGUAAGACGAACCGUGCGAACGCUGUUCGGAAUCACUGGGCUUAAAGGGCGCGUAGGCGGUUGAUCAAGUCCGGGGUGAAAUCUUUCGGCUUAACCGGAAAAGUGCCUUGGA
rnacentral:rRNA from 1 species